AGCAAGCGGUUAAAUUUCAGCGGCUGGUGUCAGUAAUCCUGGGCUCGCAUCCCAGCUCUGUUCUGUGUGGCCUUAGGAGAGUGGUUUCAACUCUCUGAGC